UUUUUUUUUUUUUUUUUGGUCAUCUCAUUAUUCCAUAAAAUGCUCCACCUGAACUGGAAUACUUUCUGGGAGGUUGUCCAGAAAUAGUGGAGGGGAUGCACCAAUGUAAGAGUAAAGGCACUCCCAGUUAUAAAGGCAGCAGAUCCAGUCCCAAAUUCCCCAUUCUGCCAAUAUCCUCUCUUCCUAAAGAGGACACUUUGCAUAUUGUGUUGACAUGACUGGAAGAGAGGUUGAAACAAAAUGAAAUGAACUGUGUGAAUGAGGGAAAAAGACCAGCAAAAUGAACCACAAAACAAGAGAUAGACAUGAAACCGUUUGAGUCUGAUUGCAGUCAGUGCUGAAGUGUGUGUGCUGUGGAGUUCCAGGUGCCGAAGGUCACAGUCUCCCAGGUGGUGUUGAGAGGGCUCUAAGCACAUCCCUGGUUGCCUUUUCGCCAUUAAUUAAAUGA